rnacentral:rRNA from 1 species
AGUCACUGACAUUAGACUACCCCGUAGUCCAGGGUGUAAACGCUGCAGACUUGGUGUUGGAAGUCCUUUGGGGGCAUUCAGUGCCGGAGAGAAGUUGUUAAGUCUGCUACUUGGGAGUACGUCCGCAAGGAUGAACUUAAAGGAAUUGGCGGGGGAGCACCGCAACGGGAGGAGCGUGCGGUUUAAUUGGAUUCAACACCGUAAAACUCACCAGGGAAGACUGUUACAUGAAAGCCGAGAUGAAGACUCUGCUAGAUUUUCAG